CAGGUGCCUUUGUUGUCGUUAUUGACAAUAAAAGUCUCCUUUAGUGUCAUAUGACACGCUUUACCUAAACGUGCUUGGUCGGACUAUUGACGUCCCUUUAGACGUAGGUAUGGCAAGGAU